GAUGAACGCUGGCGGCGUGCCUAAUACAUGCAAGUCGAGCGAACAGACGAGGAGCUUGCUCCUUCGACGUUAGCGGCGGACGGGUGAGUAACACGUAGGUAACCUACCUAUAAGACUGGGAUAACUUCGGGAAACCGGAGCUAAUACCGGAUAAUAUUUCGAACCGCAUGGUUCGAUAGUGAAAGAUGGCUUUGCUAUCACUUAUAGAUGGACCUGCGCCGUAUUAGCUAGUUGGUAAGGUAACGGCCUACCAAGGCAACGAUACGUAGCCGACCUGAGAGGGUGAUCGGCCACACUGGAACUGAGACACGGUCCAGACUCCUACGGGAGGCAGCAGUAGGGAAUCUUCCGCAAUGGGCGAAAGCCUGACGGAGCAACGCCGCGUGAGUGAUGAAGGUCUUCGGAUCGUAAAACUCUGUUAUUAGGGAAGAACAAACGUGUAAGUAACUGUGCACGUCUUGACGGUACCUAAUCAGAAAGCCACGGCUAACUACGUG
rnacentral:rRNA from 1 species